rnacentral:rRNA from 1 species
GACGAACGCUGGCGGCGUGCUUAACACAUGCAAGUCGAACGGAAAGGCCCUGCUUUUGUGGGGUGCUCGAGUGGCGAACGGGUGAGUAACACGUGAGUAACCUGCCCUUGACUUUGGGAUAACUUCAGGAAACUGGGGCUAAUACCGGAUAGGAGCUCCUGCUGCAUGGUGGGGGUUGGAAAGUUUCGGCGGUUGGGGAUGGACUCGCGGCUUAUCAGCUUGUUGGUGGGGUAGUGGCUUACCAAGGCUUUGACGGGUAGCCGGCCUGAGAGGGUGACCGGCCACAUUGGGACUGAGAUACGGCCCAGACUCCUACGGGAGGCAGCAGGGGGGAAUAUUGAACAAUGGGCGGAAGCCUGAUGCAGCAACGCCGCGGGCGGGAUGACGGCCUUCGGGUUGUAAACCGCUUUCGCCUGUGACGAAGCGUGAGUGACGGUAAUGGGUAAAGAAGCACCGGCUAACUACGUG